AUGUUCUAUUUUACAUCUUUGGGUGCACAGGUUGAUCGUAGUAUCAAUGUUGGAGGUGCUCCAUACGUUUUCAAGAUUAAUGGGGUGGUCUACCAUCGUAUUGGUUCGUUGUUUCCGGUGGAGGGUGCAAUCCCCAAGUUUGUGCAACUGUACAUGGUGGAUUCUGCCGAUGAGGUGGACUGUAGGCUGAAUGUGUUUGAGGGAGAAGAAACUGCCUCACUUGAGCCUGAUCCUGAGAUUGUUUCUUCUCUGAUAAACAUGCUCAAUGUGUUGGGGAACGUAGCAUGCAAUUUCAAAAAACUUCCUACGAUCACGCAAGAUCUAUCUAGGAGAUGA
rnacentral:rRNA from 1 species